UAAGUCUGUUUAGGAGAGGACCUAUUUGCAAUUAUUUUUCUAACUAUAAUACUUUAGUAGUGGUGGAAGUAAGAUGUUUUGGCAGGGAGAACCUAGGUUUUGCAUGAGAACAUCCUGUAACUAUACUUUUAAAUGAUGUAUAAGUAUAUUACUAGAAAAACGUUCUACUGCCACUUAUAAUGUUAACAUUUUCCAGAGCCUCAUUUUUACUAUGACAAUGACUUCAAUCAAGACUACCAAGACUCGUAAUUGAUUUGAGACCUUUGUUUGUGCAUGUAGGGUGAUGAGUGCAGCACCAUACAACAUGGGCAAGAAAUCUCCUGAAUCUGC
rnacentral:misc_RNA from 1 species